ACUGAAUCCUAGCAACCACAUUCUGAAAAGCUGUCUUACCUUCAUUUUAUAGGGAAACUAAAGCUCAGAGAAGGAACUUUCCUAAAGUCCACAGGAGUAUCACAUCUACACUCAGGUCCCCUGACUUCCAAAUCUGGAUUAUUACAAAGAAAUCCCAGGAUGGAAUUGUGAAGGGAUGUGUCUGCAGCCGGUGAGGAAGCCCAGGCACACAGAAUCCUGCAGACCUCCCCAGCCCCUCCGCAUCCACAGAGAGCACUCAGCUACCGCCGCCGCGUCCUGCCCACUCAGUCACCUCGGCUUCCCACAACCAAGUGCAGAAACAGGCCCGAGCUACAAGAGCUGAAUUAACAAGAACAAGCUGGCAGCAGGGGACAGGAGACUUCUGUACCAAGAUGGUGGCACAAAGUUAUGCCUGCGGUACCUACCCAGCCCUCACCUGCUGAUCAAAAUACUCCUUCACCUUCUGAUCAAAAUACUCAAGGAG
rnacentral:lncRNA from 1 species